GACGAACGCUGGCGGCGUGCCUAACACAUGCAAGUCGAACGGAAAGGCCCUGCUUUUGUGCGGUGCUCGAGUGGCGAAGGGGUGAGUAACACGUGAGUAACCUGCCCUUGACUUUGGGAUAACUUCAGGAAACUGGGGCUAAUACCGGAUAGGAUCUCCUGCUGCAUGGUGGGGGUUGGAAAGUUUCGGCGGUUGGGGAUGGACUCGCGGCUUAUCAGCUUGUUGGUGGGGUAGUGGCUUACCAAGGCUUUGACGGGUAGCCGGCCUGGGAGGGUGGCCGGCCACAUUGGGCCUGCGAGACGGCCCAGACUCCUACGGGGGGCAGCAGUGGGGAAUAUUGCACAAUGGGCGGAAGCCUGAUGCAGCAACGCCGCGUGCGGGAUGACGGCCUUCGGGUUGUAAACCGCUUUCGCCUGUGACGAAGCUUGAGUGACGGUAAUGAGUAAAGAAGCACCGGCUAACUACGUG
rnacentral:rRNA from 1 species